GCCUAGCUUUGUUUUUAGUGAUUAUGCCAUUUUCAUCUAAUUUAUUUCGAAAAACCCAUUUCGUACCAAUUAUGGUAUGACCUUCGGGUCUUGGCACCAAAUCCCAAAUGUUGUUACGUUUGAAUUGGUUAAGCUCCUCUUGCAUUGCCAAGGUCCAAAAUUCAUCCCCAAUUGCUUCAGAGAUGGUUUUGGGUUCAAUUUGAGAAACGAUAAGCUCCUCUUGCAUUGCCAAGGUCCAAUGCUCAUCCCCAAUUGCUUCGGAAAUGGUUUUAGGUUCAAUUUGAGAAACAAAA
rnacentral:lncRNA from 1 species